AGAACCUGCCAUUGUGUUGCUGAAAGGCACUUGCAACGUUGCAUAAAAAUCAGGCGUUCGUGUCACCCUCAGACUAGUCAAAGCUGCUGUUUUUUCUUUCUUUCUUUCUUUUUGAAAGAAGAAAGGAGGAAAAUAAGAAAUGUUCCCGGAAUAAGACCUUCAAAGGCAGAUAAGCGUCCCUUCUGAAAGACAUCGGAAACCGGGCAUGCAAGGAAAGCCACCAACUAAAGAGGUAUUCUAUUUGGAAGACUUGUCCAUGGCCCAGUGGGGAGAACUGCUUCCUGAAGAUCUGGAGAAGACUCGAAUCCCAGAAGCCUCCCUCCAUGUUGGAAUGUUGAGAGACCUGACUGAAGGAGCCCAUGGGUCUCUGACCUAACUCUCUCCAGCUUGUCCCUCUGGCUCUGCUCUGUCUCCUCAGUCUCACUGCUUGCAUCAGCCUGAGCUUCAGUAUAAACGUCUUUGUUACAAGGGACUCUGUGGUUGGUUUGAACAAAUUAAUAAUAAACUCAGGACCACUAAUAAUGAGCUGUCACCACAUAAAAGAGUGAAUCAAAACACUAACUUUCUC
rnacentral:lncRNA from 1 species